GAUGAACGCUAGCGGCAGGCUUAAUACAUGCAAGUCGAGGGGCAGUAUGGCUGUAGCAAUACAGUUGAUGGCGACCGGCAAACGGGUGCGGAACACGUACAGAACCUUCCUUCGAGCGGGGAAUAGCCCAGAGAAAUUUGGAUUAAUACCCCAUAGUAUAUUGAAGUGGCAUCACUUUAAUAUUAAAGAUUUAUCACUUGAAGAGGGCUGUGCGGCUGAUUAGGUAGUUGGCGGGGUAACGGCCCACCAAGCCUGCGAUCAGUAACUGGUGUGAGAGCACGACCAGUCACACGGGCACUGAGACACGGGCCCG
rnacentral:rRNA from 1 species